AUUGAACGCUGGCGGCAUGCCUUACACAUGCAAGUCGAACGGUAACAGCACUUCGGUGGCUGACGAGUGGCGAACGGGUGAGUAAUACAUCGGAACGUGCCCGAGAGUGGGGGGAUAACGCAGCGAAAGCUGUGCUAAUACCGCAUACGAUCUACGGAUGAAAGCGGGGGAUCGCAAGACCUCGCGCGAUUGGAGCGGCCGAUAUCAGAUUAGCUAGUUGGUGGGGUAAAAGCUCACCAAGGCGACGAUCUGUAGCUGGUCUGAGAGGACGACCAGCCACACUGGAACUGAGACACGGUCCAGACUCCUACGGGAGGCAGCAGUAGGGAAUUUUCGGCAAUGGGGGAAACCCUGACCGAGCAAUGCCGCGUGAAUGAAGAGGUCUUCGGACUGUAAAUUCUGUUAUUUGUGGAAGAAAGGUAGUUGGAGGAAUGCCAUUACUGACGGUACAAUGAGAAGCCCCGGUAACUAUGUGCCAGCAGCC
rnacentral:rRNA from 1 species